AUUGAACGCUGGCGGCAGGCCUAACACAUGCAAGUCGAGCGAGCGGCGGACGGGUGAGUAAUGUCUGGGGAUCUGCCAGAUAGAGGGGGAUAACUACUGGAAACGGUAGCUAAUACCGCAUACUAUCGGAUGAACCCAUAUGGGAUUAGCUAGUAGGUGGGGUAAAGGCUCACCUAGGAGACGAUCUCUAGCUGGUCUGAGAGGAUGAUCAGCAAAACUGGGACUGAGACACGGUCCAGACUCGUACGGGAGGCAGCAGUGGGGAAGAUUGCACAAUGGGCGCAAGACUGAUGCAGCCAUGCCGCGGGUAUGAAGAAGGCCUUAGGGUUGUAAAGUACUUUCAGCGGGGAGGCGUUACUCGCAGAAGAAGCACCGGCUAACUCCGUGCCAGCAGCCGCGGUAAUAC
rnacentral:rRNA from 1 species